rnacentral:rRNA from 1 species
UACGUAGGGUGCGAGCGUUGUCCGGAAUUAUUGGGCGUAAAGGGCUCGUAGGCGGUUUGUCACGUCGGGAGUGAAAACUCGGGGCUCAACCCCGAGCCUGCUUCUGAUACGGGCAGACUAGAGGUAUGCAGGGGAGAACGGAAUUCCUGGUGUAGCGGUGAAAUGCGCAGAUAUCAGGAGGAACACCGGUGGCGAAGGCGGUUCUCUGGGCAUUACCUGACGCUGAGGAGCGAAAGUGUGGGGAGCGAACAGG